CUUUACUGUAGCUUUGCAUUGGACUUUGACGGGACUUGUGUAGGAUAGGUGGGAGGCGUUGAGAUGCGGUCGCCAGAUCGCAUGGAGCCGUCCUUGAAAUACCACCCUGGUGUCGUUGAGGUUCUAACCUGGGCCCCUGAAGCGGGGUCGGGGACCGUGCAUGGCAGGCAGUUUGACUGGGGCGGUCUCCUCCUAAACGGUAACGGAGGAGCACGAAGGUCUCCUAGGCACGGUCGGACAUCGUGCUCAUAGUGCAAUGGCAAAAGGAGGCUUGACUGCGAGACCCACAAGUCGAGCAGGUGCGAAAGCAGGUCAUAGUGAUCCGGUGGUUCUGUAUGGAAGGGCCAUCGCUCAACGGAUAAAAGGUA
rnacentral:rRNA from 1 species